rnacentral:lncRNA from 1 species
UCUGGUUCUACAAAGUGAAUCAUUCCCAUUAUCUUAAAACUGUAUUUUAAAGCUUGACCGACUCAUAUACAUUAUAGUCAUUGUCAUUUCAGACAGUGAAGGGCUCCCAUCUGGUCAGUGCUCAUGGGUUGCAGAGAAGAAGCAGCACAUGCUUGAUUCCCAAACUGGGAUCCAAGAGCAAACAGAAGUCCAAUCUAAAGGAAAAGCAAAUGAAAAAUCAGAAGCUAAAUGUUUGCUUAGGUCCUGGCUUCCCUCGCAGAACAAACCUGCAAGAAGUCUGCUGUCAAGAGAAGUCAUUUCAUACCUUGUACACAUUGUCCUGUGGGUUGCCCGCUCCUUUCUGGUUGCCAAACACACCCUUCUUCGGCCUGUAACACCCAGAUCAAAGGCCACUCACCUUGGCACCCCCCUCCUUGCACCCGUUGCUUAAUCAUCUUAGAACCCUUCUCUCUCUGUUUUAACUGUUUGCACAUCAGAUUCUCCCAAUGGCUCAGAAUUCUUUCAGAACAGAGGCUGUGUCUUUUGUCCCUGUGUGAAAGGGACACAUUGACUCUCACUCACAGUGACAUCCCAGGAGCCCAGUGUAUAAGACAGCAGUUUUGAAACUUUUUG